GUUAGUCAUCCCUGCUGUCGGUGGCCUGUGACCUUGGAAGGACUAUUUGAUCAGCUUGAAUGGAGUGAUCAACAGAAGGCAAAGAAGCCAACAUAGCACAGAGUCUGAGACUCUGAGGAAUGUGAUAUGGAGAUGGAAAAAUGGGGUAAGCCCUGGACUGCAUGGCGCCAAUUUCUCCAGCAGACCCUAGCAGAAGAAUCCAUCUCCCUUCUGAGAUUUAUGAUAUCCAGCU